CUACACAUGCAAGUUGCACGGCGCCAUGCCUCUCGAGGAAUGGCGGAGUGGCGGACGGGUGAGGAACGCGUAAGGACCUGCCCCUGGGAGGGGGAUAACAGCUGGAAACGGCUGCUAAUACCCCAUAUCCUGAGGAGGGAAAGGAGAGAUCCGCCCAGGGAGGGGCUUGCGUCUGAUUAGCUAGUUGGGGGGGUAAUGGCCUCCCAAGGCAACGAUCAGUUGCUGGUCUGAGAGGAUGAUCAGCCACACUGGGACUGAGACACGGCCCAGACUCCUACGGGAGGCAGCAGUGAGGAAUCUUCCGCAAUGGGCGAAAGCCUGACGGGGCAAUGCCGCGUGGAGGAUGAAGGCCCAAUGGGUCGUAAACUUCUUUAGAUCAGAGACGAAGAGAUGACGGUACCUGAAGAACUAAGCAUCGGCUAAACCCCGUGCCAGCAGCCGCGGUAAGACGGGGGAUGCGAGCGUUAUCCGGAAUGAUUGGGCGUAAAGGGUCCGCAGGUGGCCCGGUCAGUCCGCUGUCAAAACCUGGGGCUCAACCCUGGACAGGCGGCGGAGACCACCGGGCUUGAGUCCGGUAGGGGCAGAGGGAAUUCCCGGUGGAGCGGUGAAAUGCGUAGAGAUCGGGAAGAACGCCAAGGGCGAAGGCACUCUGCUAGGCCUGAUUUCGCGACUGACACUCAGGGACGAGAGCCAGGGGAGCGAAUGGGAUUAGAUACCCCAGUAGUCCUGGCCGUAAACGAUGGAUACCAAGCCCUGCGCGUAUCGA
rnacentral:rRNA from 1 species